rnacentral:rRNA from 1 species
AAUGAACACUGGCGGCAGGCCUAACACAUGCAAGUCGAACGGAUCCUUCGGGAUUAGUGGCGGACGGGUGAGUAACGCGUGGGAACAUACCCAAAGGUACGGAAUAGCCUCGGGAAACUGGGAGUAAUACCGUAUGUGCUCGAAAGAGGAAAGAUUUAUCGCCUUUGGAUUGGCCCGCGUUGGAUUAGGUAGUUGGUGGGGUAAUGGCCUACCAAGCCGACGAUCCAUAGCUGGUUUGAGAGGAUGAUCAGCCACACUGGGACUGAGACACGGCCCAGCCUCCUACGGGAGGCAGCAGUGGGGAAUCUUAGACAAUGGGGGAAACCCUGAUCUAGCCAUGCCGCGUGAUCGAUGAAGGCCUUAGGGUUGUAAAGAUCUUUCAGGUGGGAAGAUAAUGACUGUACCACCAGAAGAAGCCCCGGCUAACUCCGUGCCAGCAGCCGCAGUAA